rnacentral:rRNA from 1 species
CUAGCGACUUCAGAGUUUGAUCCUGGCGUCAGGAUGAACGCUGCGGCAUGCCUAACACAUGCAAGUCGAACGAAGCACAUGAGACAGCUUGCUGAGGAUUGUGACUUAGUGGCGAACGGGUGAGUAAUGCAUGAGCAACCUGCCCUUCAGUGGGGGACAACAGUUGGAAACGACUGCUAAUACCGCAUAAUACUUCCGAAAGGCAUCUUUUGGAAGUCAAAGAUUUAUUGCUGAAGGAUGGGCUCAUGUCUGAUUAGCUAGUUGGUGAGGUAACGGCUCACCAAGGCGACGAUCAGUAGCCGGUCUGAGAGGAUGAACAGCCACAUUGGGACUGAGAUACGGCCCAG